rnacentral:rRNA from 1 species
AUUGAACGCUGGCGGCAGGCCUAACACAUGCAAGUCGAACGAGUGGCGGACGGGUGAGUAAUGUCUGGGAAACUGCCUGAUGGAGGGGGAUAACUACUGGAAACGGUAGCUAAUACCGCAUACCAUCGGAUGUGCCCAUAUGGGAUUAGCUAGUAGGUGGGGUAAAGGCUCACCUAGGCGACGAUCCCUAGCUGGUCUGAGAGGAUGACCAGCCACACUGGAACGGAGAAGCGGGCCAGACUCCUACGGGAGGCAGCAGUGGGGAAUAGUGCACAAGGGGCGCAAGCCUGAUGCAGCCAUGCCGCGUGUAUGAAGAAGGCCUUCGGGUUGUAAAGUACUUUCAGCGGGGAGGCGUUACCCGCAGAAGAAGCACCGGCUAACUCCGGGCCAGCAGCCGCGUAAUUC